rnacentral:rRNA from 1 species
AUUGAACGCUGGCGGCAGGCUUAACACAUGCAAGUCGAGCGAGCGGCGGACGGGUGAGUAAUGUCUGGGAAACUGCCUGAUGGAGGGGGAUAACUACUGGAAACGGUAGAUACUACCGCAUACAAUCAGAUGUGCCCAGAUGGGAUUGUCUAGUAGGUGGGGUAAUGGCGCACCUGGGCGACGAUACCUAGCUGGUCGGAGAGGAUGACCAGCCACACUGGAACUGAGACCCGGUCCAGACUCAGACGGGCGGCAGCAGUGGGGAAUAUUGCACAAGGGGCGCAAGCCUGAUGCAGCCAUGCCGCGUGUGUGAAGAAGGCCUUCGGGUUGUAAAGCACUUUCAGCGAGGAGGCGUUACUCGCAGAAGAAGCACCGGCUAACUCCGUGCCAGCAGCCGCGGUAAUAC